GCAAGUCGAACGAGAAAGUCACUUCGGUGGCGAGUAUAGUGGCGCACGGGUGAGUAACGCGUAGGUGAUAAACCUUGAGAUGGGGGACAACAGAGAGAAAUUUCUGCUAAUACCGCAUAAGUAGGGAAGCUUUGGAUAGCUCCUUAGAAAGGUGGUCCUUCGGGGCAUUGUCUUGAGACGGGCCUGCGUACCAUUAGCUUGUGGGUGGGGUAAUGGCCUACCUAGGCAAUGAUGGUUAGCCGGUCUGAGAGGAUGAGC
rnacentral:rRNA from 1 species